AGUGAACGCUGGCGGUAGGCCUAACACAUGCAAGUCGAACGGCAGCACAGUAAGAGCUUGCUCUUACGGGUGGCGAGUGGCGGGCGGGUGAGGAAUACAUCGGAAUCUACUUUUUCGUGGGGGAUAACGUAGGGAAACUUACGCUAAUACCGCAUACGACCUACGGGUGAAAGCAGGGGAUCUUCGGACCUUGCGCGAUUGAAUGAGCCGAUGUCGGAUUAGCUAGUUGGCGGGGUAAAGGCCCACCAAGGCGACGAUCCGUAGCUGGUCUGAGAGGAUGAUCAGCCACGCUGGAACUGAGACACGGUCCAGACUCCUACGGGAGGCAGCAGUGGGGAAUAUUGGACAAUGGGCGCAAGCCUGAUCCAGCCAUACCGCGUGGGUGAAGAAGGCCUUCGGGUUGUAAAGCCCUUUUGUUGGGAAAGAAAAGCAGCAGGUUAAUACCCCGCUGUUCUGACGGUACCCAAAGAAUAAGCACCGGCUAACUUCGUG
rnacentral:rRNA from 1 species